CUGAGGAGAACUGGGUGAGGUGGAUUGCCCCUGGGUGAGUGGUGGGAGAAGGCGGGGUCUAGAGUUGGGGGGUGUUGCAGGGCGCUUGCUGCUGUGCUAGGGACACGUUGUGGAGGCAAGGGCUUCUGACUGCGCAAAGCCGAGACUGAAGGGUUCUGGUGUUUGGCUGACGCUGUACCGGGUAUUCCGAACUCCUGGCGCAGCCUCAGCCCCCCAUCUUAGGCCUCAGGUGACUCGGCCUCUGUAAUCACCCCCACACCCCGCCCGGGCCGCUGCGACGCCCCAUCUCACUUCCACCUCACUCCCGCUCCGGCGGCCCCAGUCCACGCGCCACUCUUCAAUUCCACUCUUUAUUUCCUAGACCAGUUUUACAAGGAUCGUUAGAGAAGGCUGGGGAAGGAACAGGAGGUUACAGCCCAGCCUGGAAUAGCACCCAGUGGCCUGACUGUACAGUGAAUUUUCUUGAAGUUUGCUCUUGGAAGACCUGAGGGAGCCACGUCCUCUACUGCCCCCUCCCUCAUCCUUCAUUGGGGCAGCUCCAGGACGAUUUUGCCCAUGUUCCUGUUAGUCUCCAUAUACACAUGGGCCGCUUGAAUUUCAGUCAUGGCAUAGACUCUGUCCAGAACCGGCACUAAACGGUGAGGGCUCUCCAUGGAGAAGUGGGGCAGAAUUUGCUCUGUGAAGCUCUUCACCAGCAUCUGCUUGUACUAAGAUAAGGAAAAGGAGACCAUCAGCCCGGACAGUGGCCUAACAACCUGGCCAGUCCCCAUCCUGCUUCGCAUUUCUGCUCUUCCUGAAACUUGUACAUGUCUGAAAAGUCACACAAGGGCACGAAGUAACCCCUUGACGAACAGCAUGUAUGUGCAUACUCCUAGAUUUGUAAUCUCUUCUGUACCAGAUAAAGAUCAAAGCCUGGAGAAAGUAUUAGUGUCACUGAAAGCUGACAGGGCUGUUUUUAAGUAAAGACUUCAAGCAGGAGAUGGCCUCAGACAGGACUUAAUAUAGGCUCAAUUCAAAAGGGAUGUUUAACCUCUGCUAUCCCCCAGCAAUGUGAAAUCAUUUUGGGAAACAUUCCCAAACUUGGCACCUGCUGGACUGCUACUCACAAAAGAUUUCGGGAAUGUAUAAUCUGUUAAAGGUAUUCUCCUGAAAGAAAACAGAAGAUGGUUAUUAUUUAUGAACAGUACAUUAUCACAGUAUGAUUCAUUCUUUCCUUUAUUCCAUAAACGUUUGUCAGUGACUAUUAUGUACAAAGCACUGUGCUAAGUACUUGGAGAUACGAGGAUGACUGGAGAGUAAAGACCCAAUCCCUGACCUCAAGGAGUUCACUGUUUUCUAUAAAUAUAACUGUUUCC